GGGAAUUUUUCACAAUGGACGAAAGUCUGAUGGAGCAAUGCCGCGUGAACGAUGAAGGUCUUCUUAGAUUGUAAAGUUCUUUUAUUUGGGAAGAACAGUUAGUAGAGUGGAAAACUAUUAAUUUGACUGUACCAUUUGAAUAAGUAACGACUAACUAUGUGCCAGCAGUCGCGGUAAUACAUAGGUUGCAAGCGUUAUCCGGAUUUAUUGGGCGUAAAACAAGCGCAGGCGGAUUAGAAAGUCUGGUGUUAAAAGCAAUUGCUUAACGAUUGUAUGCAUUGGAAA
rnacentral:rRNA from 1 species